AGGGAAUCUUCCGCAAUGGACGAAAGUCUGACGGAGCAACGCCGCGUGAGUGAUGAAGGUUUUCGGAUCGUAAAGCUCUGUUGCCAGGGAAGAACGUCUUCUGGAGUAACUGCCGGUACCUUGACGGUACCUGACCAGAAAGCCACGGCUAACUACGUGCCAGCAGCCGCGGUAAUACGUAGGUGGCAAGCGUUGUCCGGAAUUAUUGGGCGUAAAGCGCGCGCAGGCGGUCCUUUAAGUCUGAUGUGAAAGCCCACGGCUCAACCGUGGAGGGUCAUUGGAAACUGGGGGACUUGAGUGCAGAAGAGGAAAGCGGAAUUCCACGUGUAGCGGUGAAAUGCGUAGAGAUGUGGAGGAACACCAGUGGCGAAGGCGGCUUUCUGGUCUGUAACUGACGCUGAGGCGCGAAAGCGUGGGGAGCAAAC
rnacentral:rRNA from 1 species